rfam:Triticum aestivum genome assembly, contig: Triticum_aestivum_CS42_TGACv1_scaffold_032627_1BL
CAUAUACUCCCUCCGUCCCAAAAUAAGUGUCUCAACUUUGUACUAAUUUUAAAAUUUAUGCAAAGUUGAGACACUUAUUUUGGGACGGAGGGAGUAUAAU